UACGAAGGGGGCUAGCGUUGCUCGGAAUUACUGGGCGUAAAGGGAGCGUAGGCGGGUUAUCAAGUUGGGGGGGAAAGCCCGGGGCUCAACCUCGGAAUUGCCUUCAAAACUGAUAACCUGGAGUAUGGAAGAGGUAAGUGGAACUCCGAGUGUAGAGGUGAAAUUCGUAGAUAUUCGGAAGAACACCAGUGGCGAAGGCGACUUACUGGUCCAUUACUGACGCUGAGGCUCGAAAGCGUGGGGAGCAAACAGG
rnacentral:rRNA from 1 species